ensembl:lncRNA
GUACUUCUAGGAAUACACAGCAAUGGAAAUCUUGGUGACUACUUCUUUCAGUCUGCUCCUAUGUUCAGCAAAUUUACAGGGAGAAAGCAGUUCUGUGAUUGAAGAUAAAAGAAGCAGCAGCUACCCAGUCUUGUGGUAGUGAUACCUUCACCAGACCAGGUCCUGACCCUGUCAGAUGUUCUUGUAUUAUAAAAGCUGAGGCUUGAGAAUUUCAGUUGCUUUUAGAGACUGGAUACUGCCAGCUGUUAGAGGAAAGCUGAAGGUCCUCUGAGGUGUAAAACAGCACCUGGCUCUUGUUUGUCACCUUCAUUGUUCAGCUUAGGUGAGUAGUUCAGGAGAUAGAAAUGCAGGCAGAUACACAAAAUACCCUAAUUUCCAGACACCAAAACAAGCUGCCCCAGUUUGGCUAAGCUGAAUGUAACCACAGCAGAGAUGGUUUUGCUGAACACACACAGCAGUUAACAUAAUACAGCACCUCAGCAACAGCUGCUUGUAGAGCAUGUGAGACAGAGUGAUGGAAGUUGCCCUUGUCAGGCAGUCUGUGCAAGCCAAGUCCUAUACCUCACCAAAAGAAUGUCUUCUGUAGAACUUUAAACCAGCCAUCUUUGGUUUAAUAUCCCUGACCUUUCUUCAUUCUUUACAAGUCAUUCACUAAAAUUAAAUUAGGCUUGUUUAUGUUCUGUGUCUCCAGAAAUGGAAGUUCUUGAAUCUAGCAACACUCAUGUUUCUAAGCUGUGUGUCCAGGUACCAACCAGCUCAGUGCAGGUGGCAGAGGAUUACCUAUGGCUGCUUUACAGGUAAGUAAACUCUAGCAGUUUUCUUGGAUUUUUUUUUUUUUUUUUGGUCUUUACCUCCUGGCUUACAGCCAUUUCAUAAUUUUCCUGCCUUUAUUAGCUUUCAGGCUCCUAUCCUCAAAUCAACUGGCUCCCAAUUUCAUCACACAGCAGGUGUUGGCUUGAAAGUCCCAAUUCACCUUCAGCAUUCCUGUGAAGGAAAACUUUUCC